UGGGGAAUAUUGGACAAUGGGGGCAACCCUGAUCCAGCCAUGCCGCGUGUGUGAAGAAGGCCUUUUGGUUGUAAAGCACUUUAAGCAGGGAGGAGAGGCUAAUGGUUAAUACCCAUUAGAUUAGACGUUACCUGCAGAAUAAGCACCGGCUAACUCUGUGCCAGCAGCCGCGGUAAUACAGAGGGUGCGAGCGUUAAUCGGAAUUACUGGGCGUAAAGCGAGUGUAGGUGGCUCAUUAAGUCACAUGUGAAAUCCCCGGGCUUAACCUGGGAACUGCAUGUGAUACUGGUGGUGCUAGAAUAUGUGAGAGGGAAGUAGAAUUCCAGGUGUAGCGGUGAAAUGCGUAGAAAUCUGGAGGAAUACCGAUGGCGAAGGCAGCUUCCUGGCAUAAUAUUGACACUGAGAUUCGAAAGCGUGGGUAGCAAACAGG
rnacentral:rRNA from 1 species